GAGCACCGGUUCAGCAGCACACAUACUAAAAUUGGAAUGACGCAGAGACGUUUAGCACGGUCCCUGUAUAAGGAGGAAGCGCAAAUUCCCCAAGUGUUCCAUAUUUAA
ensembl:snRNA U6 U6 spliceosomal RNA